rnacentral:misc_RNA from 1 species
UUCCUUUUCAUUUUCAUUUCUCUCACAAAACAUACUAAGUAUCUACAUGUUUGGUCUUAUAGCAACACUCUGAAUCCUUUUCUAGAUAUGAAUAAUUAGGACAUAACUAGGAGUCAUGAAGAAUGGAUGGAAACAAGAAUGCGGAAAGAUAAAAGAGAGUUCCACUUACCCUAAGCUUGGCCAAAACCCCAACUAAGGGCUCUUCCCUUUUGCUUCUCCUUUUAUGACAAUCACUACCCUCCCUUUUUAGUCGAAACUUCCCCCUUCUCUUCCUCUUUGUUUUGUCAUAAAUCUUUCUUCAAACAAUCUCACUCCUCUUUUUGGUUAUGGGGUUGAUGAAUUUAGUGAUAGAAAUGUAAAGUAGGUGGGAAGGAGGUGGAUGAAGUAUAGGGCUAAGGUUUUG